rnacentral:rRNA from 1 species
AUUGAACGCUGGCGGCAGGCCUAACACAUGCAAGUCGAGCGGAUGAAGGGAGCUUGCUCCUGGAUUCAGCGGCGGACGGGUGAGUAAUGCCUAGGAAUCUGCCUGGUAGUGGGGGAUAACGUCCGGAAACGGGCGCUAAUACCGCAUACGUCCUGAGGGAGAAAGUGGGGGAUCUUCGGACCUCACGCUAUCAGAUGAGCCUAGGUCGGAUUAGCUAGUUGGUGGGGUAAAGGCCUACCAAGGCGACGAUCCGUAACUGGUCUGAGAGGAUGAUCAGUCACACUAGAACUGAGACACGGUCCAGGCUCCUACGAGAGGGAGCAGUCGGGAAUGUGAGACAGUGGGCGGAAGCCUGAUCCAGCCAGGCCGCGUGUGUGAAGAAGGUCUUCGGAUUGUAAAGCACUUUAAGUUGGGAGGAAGGGCAGUAAGUUGAGACCUUGCUGUUUUGACGUUACCAACAGAAUAAGCACCGGCUAACUUCGUG